rnacentral:rRNA from 1 species
AACGAACGCUGGCGGCAGGCCUAACACAUGCAAGUCGAACGCCGUAGCAAUACGGAGUGGCAGACGGGUGAGUAACGCGUGGGAACAUACCCCUCGGUUCGGAAUAACUCAGGGAAACUUGAGCUAAUACCGGAUACGUCCGAGGUUUUGAUCGACCUUGGAGAAAGAUUUAUCGCCGAAGGAUUGGCCCGCGUCUGAUUAGCUUGUUGGUGAGGUAAUGGCUCACCAAGGCGACGAUCAGUAGCUGGUCUGAGAGGAUGAUCAGCCACAUUGGGACUGAGACACGGCCCAGACUCCUACGGGAGGCAGCAGUGGGGAAUAUUGCGCAAUGGCCGAAAGGCUGACGCAGCGACGCCGCGUGUGGGAUGACGGCCCUCGGGUU